rnacentral:rRNA from 1 species
GACGAACGCUGGCGGCGUGCUUAACACAUGCAAGUCGAACGGUGACGAGGAGCUUGCUCCUCCGAUCAGUGGCGAACGGGUGAGUAACACGUGAGUAACCUGCCCCAGACUCUGGGAUAACAGUUGGAAACAGCUGCUAAUACCGGAUACGAGACGGAGAGGCAUCUCUACCGUCUGGAAAGUUUUUCGGUCUGGGAUGGACUCGCGGCCUAUCAGCUUGUUGGUGAGGUAAUGGCUCACCAAGGCGACGACGGGUAGCCGGCCUGAGAGGGCGACCGGCCACACUGGGACUGAGACACGGCCCAGACUCCUACGGGAGGCAGCAGUGGGGAAUAUUGCACAAUGGGCGAAAGCCUGAUGCAGCGACGCCGCGUGAGGGAUGACGGCCUCGGUUGUAACGUACUU